rnacentral:rRNA from 1 species
GAGGAUUUUCAUCUCAACCAGGUGCGGUCGCGGCCCCCGGGGGCUUGCUCCCGGGUGGUAGGGGUAACACCCUCACGCGCCGCCUGCCUGUACCCUCUUUUUACGAGCACCUUUCGUUCUCCUUCGGCGGGGCAACCUGCCGCUGGAACCAAAACAAAACCUUUUUUGCAUCUAGCAUUACCUGUUCUGAUACAAACAAUCGUUACAACUUUCAACAAUGGAUCUCUUGGCUCUGGCAUCGAUGAAGAACGCAGCGAAAUGCGAUAAGUAGUGUGAAUUGCAGAAUUCAGUGAAUCAUCGAAUCUUUGAACGCACAUUGCGCCCCUUGGUAUUCCAUGGGGCAUGCCUGUUCGAGCGUCAUCUACACCCUCAAGCUCUGCUUGGUGUUGGGCGUCUGUCCCGCCUCUGCGCGCGGACUCGCCCCAAAUUCAUUGGCAGCGGUCUUUGCCUCCUCUCGCGCAGCACAAUUGCGUCUGCGGGGGGGCGUGGCCCGCGUCCACGAAGCAACAUUACCGUCUUUGACCUCGGAUCAGGUAGGGAUACCCGCUGAACUUAAGCAUAUCAAUAGCCGGGAGGAA